GAUGAACGCUAGCGGGAGGCUUAAUACAUGCAAGUCGUACGGUAACAGGCGUAGCAAUACGUGCUGACGAGUGGCGCACGGGUGAGGAACACGUACGCAAUCUGCCUUUGACUGGAGGAUAGCCCUGGGAAACUAGGAUUAAUACUCCAUAACAUCACGGUGUGGCAUCACAUUGUGAUUAAACUUUCGGGGGUCAAAGAUGAGCGUGCGUUUGAUUAGGUAGUUGGCGGGGUAACGGCCCACCAAGCCUACGAUCAAUAGCUGGCGUGAGAGGGCGACAAGCCACACGGGAACUGAGACACGGUCGCGGCUCCUACGGGAGGCAGCAGUAGGGAAUAUUGGACAAUGGCUGAAAAGCUGAUCCAGCCAUCCCGCGUGAAGGCAGAAGGUCCUAUGGAUUGUAAACUUCUUUUCUCUGGGAAGAAAAGGCGGGUUUCUACCUGCUCUGACGGUACCAGAGGAAUAAGCACCGGCUAACUCCGUGCCAGCCGCCGCCGUAAAAC
rnacentral:rRNA from 1 species